UUUGUGCUCUGGACUAGACUAGAACUCAUUUUGCAAUUUGGUUAAUGACAUUUGGAGGUUCUACAAGCUACGGGGAUGGUCACACGAGGUGCCAGAGGCAGAAGGAUACCUAGGGAAGUGCCAUGACUGAUCUAACCACCAUACAGUUGAAAAAUGGCAGAGCCAGAACGAGAGCCAAGUUUCCUAUCUGACUGUAAACCUUAAUUGAGGUGUUCAACCCUCCGGGACAUUCCAUCACCAGCAAGUCCCCUCUGAGAUGCUGCUUUCUUGGGCUGGGCCACUACCUCAAAUCAAGAACACCCUGGGCUCCACACCCAGUAUACAGCCCAACAUGGAACCCGAAACUAAGACCCUGAGAGCAAGACCUGAGCUGAGAUCAAAAGCCCAAUGCUUAACCAACUGAGCCACUCUGGCACCCUAUUUUGUUAUAUCUUAACUUCAG